rnacentral:rRNA from 1 species
GAUGAACGCUGGCGGCGUGCUUAACACAUGCAAGUCGAACGAUGAAGCCCAGCUUUCUGGGUGUCUGGGUGGCUAACGGAUGAGUAACACACAAGUAAGCUGCCCUUCACGCAGUGAUAAGCAUGCGAAACUGGGGCUAAUUCCGGAUAGGAACGCCUAGCGCGGGGAGGGUGUUGGCAAGGUAUGUCGGUUGUGGAUGGACUCGCGGCCUAUCAGCUUGUUGGUGAGGUAAGGGCUCACCAAGGCGACGACGGGUAGCCGGCCUGAGAGGGUGACCGGCCACACUGGGACUGAGACACGGCCCAGACUCCUACGGGAGGCAGCAGUGGGGAAUAUUGCACAAUGGGCGCAAGCCUGAUGCAGCGACGCCGCGUGAGGGAUGACGGCCUUCGGGUUGUAAACCUCUUUCAGCAGGGAAGAAGCGAAAGUGACGGUACCUGCAGAAGAAGCACCGGCUAACUACGUG